CUUUCCUUCAUCCCCAUAGGCCCUGGUUGUAAGAUUUAUUGCUGAGGUAAAAUGAGGAAACUAAGGCAGGUAUAAAAAAGUGAAAAGCCAAUUUAUUCAGCUCCCAUGCAACCUUCAGUGGUCCAACAGGGGGCCAGAGAAGUCACACCCCGCUAUUCAGGGUGUGGGGUUUUAUGGGGAGUGCAGGAAAUUGAUUGGUUACUGGGGAAACAAAGAGAAGGCAUUUCUAUUGGCUGUUGAGGAGUAGGAAGUACAUGGAGUUAAAGUAGGAAGUACAUGAAACUAGCUGCCAUUGGUAGGCAGGCGGGACUUUGGGUAAGUGGGCCUUGAUUGACUACUGGGGAAACAAAGAGAAGGCAUUUCUAUUGGCUGUUGAGGAGCAGGAAGUACAUGGAGUUAAAGUAGGAAGUACAUGAAACUAGCUGCCAUUGGUGGGCGGGCAGGACCUUGAGUAUGCGGGUCUGCUGGGGGUAUUGGGGAAAGCUGUUGCUGGGCAGGGAAUGGUGGGGCUUCUUUAAAAAAAUUUAUCUGCAGGGUUUUUUAACAGAGGGCUGGAAGUUGGAUGCAUAAUUUAGUGCUGAGUGUGGGCUUGGACAUGGUAUGCCGAGGCGGGUGCAGGGAAGCUUUGUGGGGAAGCCAGAUAAUGAGCUCGGGUGAUGAUGCAGUUAUCAGGCAUGGAGAUUGAUGAAUGUGUCCGUUUAACUCCCGGCAAGGCAACUGGCCUUACACUGGUCAGCAAGGACUGGAAUACAGAAGAAAGACUGAAGGCAGAGAUGAGCAAGGACAGGCUAGGAAGCACACAGAACAACUGAAACACUCAACUGUCUCUCAUUGCAUCUAACCUCAAUGAUACAGGUGACGUGCACAAAAAGCUGGUACCCUUUCCCAGCUCAACUGACCCAGAACUUGAAGAAGUGAAGGAGGAGAUUGAGCAGGGGGAAGAAGAGUUGUGGGCCCAACUGUCACUCAAUGUCAAUGAUGAGUGAGAAAUUACCUUUGACUUCUACCAGACCUCAUAUCCAUUUCCACAGCAAAUCCUUUUAGAGAUACCUGCAAAGUAUAUUCAGAAUCUGAAUGCUCCUUGGCACCUCCAUGCUACCACUCUAGUCAAAACCAUCAUUAUCUCUCACCUAGAUUUUGCAGCAGUCUCCUUAAUGGUCUUUCUACUUCUUCCAUGACCUCUAUACUCUCUUGUCAAAACAGCAAUCGAAGUGACUACACUGAAACAUAAAGUAGAUUUUGCUUUUCUUCUGCUCAAAACCCAUCUUUCUGUUGGGGAAAACCAUAGUACUUAGAAUGGACUCCCACGUCCUGGUCCGGCUCAUUUCUCU
rnacentral:lncRNA from 1 species